rnacentral:rRNA from 1 species
CUCUAGUGACCGAUAGUGAACCAGUACCGUGAGGGAAAGGUGAAAAGCACCCCGGGAGGGGAGUGAAAUAGAACCUGAAACCGUGUGCCUACAACAAGUUCGAGCCCGUUAAUGGGUGAGAGCGUGCCUUUUGUAGAAUGAACCGGCGAGUUACGAUAUGAUGCGAGGUUAAGUUGAAGAGACGGAGCCGUAGGGAAACCGAGUCUGAAUAGGGCGCUUUAGUAUUAUGUCGUAGACCCGAACCCAUGUGACCUACCCAUGAGCAGGUUGAAGGUGCGGUAAGACGCACUGGAGGACCGAACCAGGGCACGUUGAAAAGUGCUUGGAUGACUUGUGGGUAGCGGAGAAAUUCCAAACGAACUUGGAGAUAGCUGGUUCUCUCCGAAAUAGCUUUAGGGCUAGCGUCGAUGUUAAGUCUCUUGGAGGUAGAGCACUGUUUGGGUGAGGGGUCCAUCCCGGAUUACCAAUCUCAGAUAAACUCCGAAUGCCAACGAGAUAUAAUCGGCAGUCAGACUGCGAGUGCUAAGAUCCGUAGUCGAAAGGGAAACAGCCCAGACCACCAGCUAAGGUCCCAAAAUAUAUGUUAAGUGGAAAAGGAUGUGGGGUUGCACAGACAACUAGGAUGUUAGCUUAGAAGCAGCUAUUCAUUCAAAGAGUGCGUAAUAGCUCACUAGUCGAGUGACCCUGCGCCGAAAAUGUACCGGGGCUAAAACAAUUUACCGAAGCUGUGGAUACCUUUAUAGGUAUGGUAGGAGAGCGUUCUAUGUGUGAAGAAGGUGUACCGUGAGGAGUGCUGGAACGCAUAGAAGUGAGAAUGCCGGUAUGAGUAGCGAAAGACAGGUGAGAAUCCUGUCCACCGUAAGACUAAGGUUUCCAGGGGAAGGCUCGUCCGCCCUGGGUUAGUCGGGACCUAAGGAGAGACCGAAAGGUGUAUCCGAUGGACAACAGGUUGAUAUUCCUGUACUAGAGUAUAUAGUGAUGGAGGGACGCAGUAGGCUAACUAAACCAGACGAUUGGAAGUGUCUGGCCAAGCAGUGAGGUGUGAUAUGAGUCAAAUGCUUAUAUCUUUAACAUUGAGCUGUGAUGGGGAGCGAAGUUUAGUAGCGAAGUUAGUGAUGUCACACUGCCGAGAAAAGCUUCUAGCGUUAAUUAUACUCUACCCGUACCGCAAACCGACACAGGUAGUCGAGGCGAGUAGCCUCAGGUGAGCGAGAGAACUCUCGUUAAGGAACUCGGCAAAAUGGCCCCGUAACUUCGGGAGAAGGGGCGCUGACUUAUGGUCAGCCGCAGUGAAUAGGCCCAAGCAACUGUUUAUCAAAAACACAGCUCUCUGCUAAAUCGUAAGAUGAUGUAUAGGGGGUGACGCCUGCCCGGUGCUGGAAGGUUAAGAGGAGUGCUUAGCGUAAGCGAAGGCAUGAAUUGAAGCCCCAGUAAACGGCGGCCGUAACUAUAACGGUCCUAAGGUAGCGAAAUUCCUUGUCGGGUAAGUUCCGACCCGCACGAAAGGCGUAAUGAUUUGGGCACUGUCUCAACGAGAGACUCGGUGAAAUUUUAGUACCUGUGAAGAUGCAGGUUACCCGCGACAGGACGGAAAGACCCCAUGGAGCUUUACUGCAGUUUGAUAUUGAGUAUCUGUACCACAUGUACAGGAUAGGUAGGAGCCUAUGACCUCGGGACGCCAGUUUCGAGUGAGGCGUUGUUGGGAUACUACCCUUGUGUUAUGGCUACUCUAACCCAGAUAGGUUAUCCCUAUCGGAGACAGUGUCUGACGGGCAGUUUGACUGGGGCGGUCGCCUCCUAAAAGGUAACGGAGGCGCCCAAAGGUUCCCUCAGAAUGGUUGGAAAUCAUUCGCAGAGUGUAAAGGUAUAAGGGAGCUUGACUGCGAGAGCUACAACUCGAGCAGGGACGAAAGUCGGGCUUAGUGAUCCGGUGGUUCCGCAUGGAAGGGCCAUCGCUCAACGGAUAAAAGCUACCCUGGGGAUAACAGGCUUAUCUCCCCCAAGAGUUCACAUCGACGGGGAGGUUUGGCACCUCGAUGUCGGCUCGUCGCAUCCUGGGGCUGUAGUCGGUCCCAAGGGUUGGGCUGUUCGCCCAUUAAAGCGGCACGCGAGCUGGGUUCAGAA